rnacentral:rRNA from 1 species
GACGAACGCUGGCGGCGUGCCUAAUACAUGCAAGUAGAACGCUGAAGGAGGAGCUUGCUUCUCUGGAUGAGUUGCGAACGGGUGAGUAACGCGUAGGUAACCUGCCUGGUAGCGGGGGAUAACUAUUGGAAACGAUAGCUAAUACCGCAUAAUAGCAGUUGUUGCAUGAUAACUGUUUGAAAGGUGCAAUUGCACCACUACCAGAUGGACCUGCGUUGUAUUAGCUAGUUGGUGGGGUAACGGCUCACCAAGGCGACGAUACAUAGCCGACCUGAGAGGGUGAUCGGCCACACUGGGACUGAGACACGGCCCAGACUCCUACGGGAGGCAGCAGUAGGGAAUCUUCGGCAAUGGACGGAAGUCUGACCGAGCAACGCCGCGUGAGUGAAGAAGGUUUUCGGAUCGUAAAGCUCUGUUGUAAGAGAAGAACGAGUGUGAGAGGGAAAGUUCACA